CUGUAAAACUUUAACAUAAUGAACAUGGUCUUAUGCAGGUUCUGCUUUUUGAAAUUGAAAACUUUCUGAUUAUAUAUUUUAGCUUCUCUUUGCUUCCACUUAAUUUAAACUGAAUUAUGUGUCAUAACAGUUCAAGCUGUAUCUUUACAAGCUGCUGAGAUUGCAUCCCCACUAGCAGAGUUUUGGGUCAGUUUGAUGACAAGUUAGAGGUCAAGUUCAUCUUUGAAGAAACUGUUGGAUGUUAAUUUUCCUUUCAGAGUUCUACUUCAUUGCUGGUUUGUGACAAAGAGUUUGAAAGCACGACAUGCCAGUACCUCUGAACCUGAUUCAGAAAGGACAUCAAAAGGCUGCAGUAAAAAGCAUUGCAGACUCAUUGCUCCGCCCUUUCUGGACCUCUGGUGCACUUUUACUGAAGUCAGAGGAUUCCUGUUUUUAUCCAAGGCAAAAUUGUUGGACUGAAGAGCAUAACUGAGUAUGAUUUAGAAGAAAGCCAAAGCAGACAACCAUGAUUGACAUAGUCUAUAGGACAGUAUUGCUUACUUGAAAUUUUACACAACAGCUGAACGCUGCUCAUAAGCUUGUCUGUCUGUGGAUGCUUUCACACUGCUGUAAACUACCUCCUGGGAAAAAGUUAGCAGAAGCAAACAAGAAGCUUUCUCUACAGCAGGUAAACAACUGAUGUCUAGAACCACUGAGGUAUUUGAGCAUCCCACCUAUAGCUAGUAAGUGCCUCAGUGUGUGAACCUGUAUUCUGGAAGAGUUUUGUGCAAGCAGUGCUGAUGCAGCAGAGAGCAAUUGCAUCUUUUUUCUGGCACAUAUUAUGUGCUAGUGUGUCCUGCCCAUGCAGAGAGGGCCAAAGAAGGAGCUGAUUUUUGAAGAGCAUUUACUGUCCAAAGACUGAAAUACUGAUUUAGCUGACUGAAGGUCGUGCUCCUCAGUGUAGACAAAUGAGCAUGCCUGAGCUUAAUCUUUGUGAACAAAGCCCAUUAUGGUUAUGCUAGGUAGCAGUAAAUCAAAGACUGGCAUAUGUAUUUUGACUUACUAGUCUUAGAAAAAAAAAUACAACACAAAAACCCCCAAAACAAACAGAAAACCCCAA